UACCAGCACCCCGAGUGGUCGGGACGUUUAUUGGGCCUAAAGCAUCCGUAGCCGGUUCUACAAGUCUUCCGUUAAAUCCAGCUGCUUAACAGAUGGGCUGCGGAAGAUACUAUGGAGCUAGGAGGCGGGAGAGGCAAGCGGUACUCGAUGGGUAGGGGUAAAAUCCGUUGAUCCAUUGAAGACCACCAGUGGCGAAGGCGGCUUGCCAGAACGCGCUCGACGGUGAGGGAUGAAAGCGG
rnacentral:rRNA from 1 species